GACAUCACUUAAGGAAGAAGGGAAAAGGAGGCCACAGCAAGGCCAGAGGAAUGGUCAGAAAAUGGAGUUGGAGAGUGUGGUGCUUCGGAGAAGGGAGCAGGUGGAGACAUACGCCGACUGCAGCCCAGGUGGCCAACAGGGUCUACCGUGUGCAUGGUGCAAGGCACCGGAGGCAGAGUGGACAUGUGUCACGGCUGUCCGAGAGAGGUGACCAGGUCACUGAAGGAGAACGCGCUGGACAAAGAUUACAGUGCAACCCAGUGGACAUCCUAGAGGCAUUGUGAGGGGGAGCAUCCAGCAUAUUGUUAAUCAAAGGUGGACAUUCUGCCUUAUUCAUCUUUCCAUACCUAGCACUCAGUACAAUGCCUGGCAUGAGGAACUUUUGCUGACCAGAGAAAGCAGCAACCUCCUCAACACGC